AAAUUUAAACCCUUUUUAAAGUAUCAAUUGGAGGGCAAGUCUGGUGCCAGCAGCCGCGGUAAUUCCAGCUCCAAUAGCGUAUAUUAAAAUUGUUGCAGUUAAAAAGCUCGUAGUUGAAGUUCUGCUAAAAGUAACCGGUCUGCUUUGAAUAAAAGUGGUAUCUUGGUAUGUAUUUAGCAAUGAUGUCCUUUGAAGUGUUUUUUACUUUAUUGUAAUAAAGCAUAUUCAGGACUUUUACUUUGAGAAAAUUAGAGUGUUUCUAGCAGGCCAACGCUUUGAAUACUGCAGCAUGGAAUAAUAAGAUAGGAUUUUAGUUCUACAUUAUUGGUUUUAAGAGCUAAAUUAAUGAUUGAUAGGGACAGUUGGGGGCAUUUGUAUUUAACUGUCAGAGGUGAAAUUCUUAGAUUUGUUAAAGACAAACUACUGCGAAAGCAUUUGCCAAAGAUGUUUUCAUUAAUCAAGAACGAAAGUUAGGGGAUCGAAGACGAUCAGAUACCGU
rnacentral:rRNA from 1 species